CGGACAGGCUUGAGCACCUCCCGAUGCCAAAGAGCCGCCCACCUACAAGCAAAGUAGAGUCUAUGGGGACUCCUAGGGCCAGGCCAGUCCACGCUGAGGGCUCGACACUGUGCAAGAGACGGGCGAGCUGCAGUCCGAGAAGUGGAGUCUUCCUCGCCACUGGGUAGAAUAUCUUUUCCACGCCCUGUCUCA
rnacentral:lncRNA from 1 species